CAAGAAAGACCCAGGCCAGGUAGCUUAAUGAAAUUUAAAACCAUUCACCAUAGAGAAUGCAAUUACCUCAAUGAGAGCUAGUCCCCUGUUGUCUUUGAUUAAUAUGCUAAUUCCAUUGCAAAGACAUCAACUAUUGCGUUCUGCCGUUCGGGUCAUUUGUAUGCCUCGCGACGCCCCGAAGAAUCAGGCGAUUGUAGGCUGCUUGAGUCAGACACUGUUUGCCAUUUGUUGCCCACCGAAAGGCUUCCUGAUUCAUUAGCAGCACGCACUCUGUGUUAAUACCCAUUAACUCUUCAUAGCAUUCUCUGUAAUUGAAACCCAACUGGCCUCAACACUUGCGCGCGACGACUUGACAUCGCUUUCACGAGAACAUAAUGAAUACAUUGCUAAUUUAUCCUCUCAAGCGCUCGCGUACCGCACCGGCGUCGUAAUGAGGCAGUUCCAGCUCGGUUCGCGACUUGCGCCUUUUUUUAAACGACGUAGCCUCCUUAAGCACCUGUCACCCCGCAUUCGUUAGCCCUUUCCUUAAUGAGUUGGAUCUCAAGGCUCUGUCGCUGAUGAGAUACAAGCUGAGUGUGGCGAUUGUUCCGUGUCAGAGCCUGUUAAGUCAGCUGUGGGCGUGCGGGGAUGCGACUGGGGCCAUGAUUAAAUGUUGAUAGCAAUGAUGUGCAAUCAGCGAUUAAAAACGGGCCAUUCGCUGACGGCUAAUGCUCGGUUUAACCUCUGACUGCCGAGACUGCGAGCUGAAGAGGGAGACAGAACGACGGGAAUAAUGCAAACACAAUGUAGCUACUGUGUGUGAGAGCUGACGCAGUGGCUGGGAAAGAAAGUGCGAAUAAGGUGCGAUACACCGGAGAGGAGGCACAUGCAGAGAGAGGUGGAGGACGAAGGGAGGAAAAAAAGGAGACAGCGCCACCAGGUGGACAUUAUACUGCAACGAGCCUCACAAAAUUUUUUGUUUCUAGAAAACUGUUUGCUAAUGAGACACUCCAGCCAUUACAACGAGAUUGACAGCGGGCCUACAGAUGAUCAGGAACGGUGUACUAUCCUCCAAAAACAGCAGAGGGCGCAGUUCCUCACAUUAACUUUCACGGAGGUGAGCUCAGUCUCUGCAACAACACUUCCUUCUCGAAUAAUUUAUUCGUAUU